UCCAUGAAGUCGGAAUCGCUAGUAAUCGCGAAUCAGAAUGUCGCGGUGAAUACGUUCCCGGGCCUUGUACACACCGCCCGUCACACCAUGGGAGUGGGUUGUACCAGAAGUAGAUAGCUUAACCUUUUGGAGGGCGUUUACCACGGUAUGAUUCAUGACUGGGGUGAAGUCGUAACAAGGUAACCGUAGGGGAACCUGCGGUUGGAUCACCUCCUUACC
rnacentral:rRNA from 1 species